GGAGCUGUGGCUCAGUGGUAGAGCACUUGCCUUGUGCAAGGCCCUGGGGUCCAUCCCCAGCACUG
rnacentral:tRNA from 1 species